rnacentral:rRNA from 1 species
AGAGUUUGAUCAUGGCUCAGAUUGAACGCUGGCGGCAGGCCUAACACAUGCAAGUCGAGCGGUAGCACAGAGAGCUUGCUCUCGGGUGACGAGCGGCGGACGGGUGAGUAAUGUCUGGGAAACUGCCUGAUGGAGGGGGAUAACUACUGGAAACGGUAGCUAAUACCGCAUAAUGUCGCAAGACCAAAGUGGGGGACCUUCGGGCCUCAUGCCAUCAGAUGUGCCCAGAUGGGAUUAGCUAGUAGGUGGGGUAACGGCUCACCUAGGCGACGAUCCCUAGCUGGUCUGAGAGGAUGACCAGCCACACUGGAACUGAGACACGGUCCAGACUCCUACGGGAGGCAGCAGUGGGGAAUAUUGCACAAUGGGCGCAAGCCUGAUGCAGCCAUGCCGCGUGUGUGAAGAAGGCCUUCGGGUUGUAAAGCACUUUCAGCGGGGAGGAAGGCGGUGAGGUUAAUAACCUCAUCGAUUGACGUUACCCGCAGAAGAAGCACCGGCUAACUCCGUGCCAGCAGCCGCGGUAAUACGGAGGGUGCAAGCGUUAAUCGGAAUUACUGGGCGUAAAGCGCACGCAGGCGGUCUGUCAAGUCGGAUGUGAAAUCCCCGGGCUCAACCUGGGAACUGCAUUCGAAACUGGCAGGCUAGAGUCUUGUAGAGGGGGGUAGAAUUCCAGGUGUAGCGGUGAAAUGCGUAGAGAUCUGGAGGAAUACCGGUGGCGAAGGCGGCCCCCUGGACAAAGACUGACGCUCAGGUGCGAAAGCGUGGGGAGCAAACAGGAUUAGAUACCCUGGUAGUCCACGCCGUAAACGAUGUCGAUUUGGAGGUUGUGCCCUUGAGGCGUGGCUUCCGGAGCUAACGCGUUAAAUCGACCGCCUGGGGAGUACGGCCGCAAGGUUAAAACUCAAAUGAAUUGACGGGGGCCCGCACAAGCGGUGGAGCAUGUGGUUUAAUUCGAUGCAACGCGAAGAACCUUACCUGGUCUUGACAUCCACAGAACUUAGCAGAGAUGCUUUGGUGCCUUCGGGAACUGUGAGACAGGUGCUGCAUGGCUGUCGUCAGCUCGUGUUGUGAAAUGUUGGGUUAA